AGAGCAUUGAGAGGACCUUUCCCUAGUACGAGAGGACCAGGAAGGACGCACCUCUGGUGUACCAGUUAUUGUGCCUACGGUAAACGUUGGGUAGCCAAGUGCGGAGAGGAUAACUGCUGAAAGCAUAUAAGUAGUAAGCCCACCCCAAGAUGAGUGCUCU
rnacentral:rRNA from 1 species